CCUACGGGACGCACCAGUGGGGAAUAUUGCACAAUGGGCGCAAGCCUGAUGCAGCCAUGCCGCGUGUGUGAAGAAGGCCUUCGGGUUGUAAAGCACUUUCAGCGGGGAGGAAGGCGUUAAGGUUAAUAACCUUAGCGAUUGACGUUACCCGCAGAAGAAGCACCGGCUAACUCCGUGCCAGCAGCCGCGGUAAUGCGGAGGGUGCAAGAGAUAAUCGGAAUUACUGGGCGUAAAGCGCACGCAGGCGGUCUGUCAAGUCGGAUGUGAAAUCCCCGGGCUCAACCUGGGAACUGCAUUCGAAACUGGCAGGCUAGAGUCUUGUAGAGGGGGGUAGAAUUCCAGGUGUAGCGGUGAAAUGCGUAGAGAUCUGGAGGAAUGCCGGUGGCGAAGGCGGCCCCCUGGACAAAGACUGACGCUCAGGUGCGAAAGCGUGGGGAGCAAACUGGAUUAGAUACCCGCGUAGUC
rnacentral:rRNA from 1 species